CACUCUCCCAGUGCUGUUUCUAGUUAUUACUUAGGUUGUAGUUUGCAGUGCCACAGAAUUGCAAUGCAUAAUGCGGAGUUCAAAAUGAUAGGAAUUGUUACGACACACGCACAGUCCGUUUUUCUCUCUUCUGCGGGAGCACUCAACAGCUCCACUCUGAGCGCGUCCAGACACGCACCCACACGCGCUGCGCAGACCGCUCUCACACGCAGCCGGAGACAAUCAUCAAUCAAGACACCUGGCAGUAAAUACGGACGACAGGAUAAAGAGCCUUGGUGCUGACUACUCCUUGUCGGAACAUUUAUUUUGCUUGCAUCCCUGCCUCCACUCCCGCUGCCAUAUUCUCCGGAACCCUGAUUGCCCUCCUGAUUCCCCAACACAUUGCCUGGACUUUGGACGCUCUCUCUCCUGCCCCAUGACUACACCUGGACACCGGACUUCUUUGCCUUAUUCCUCUGGAUUUGGACGCCACCAUUCAACACCUGUUGAGUGUUACGGUAGCGUUGAGCAAGGGGCAAGGCAGGCUUGAAGGUCCGUGAGACAAGCAGGAAGUCGGGGGCAAUACCGAGGCGUCAGAGUCCGUGUCCAGGCGGGAGGUCGAGACCCAAGAGGCAGCCAGGAAACCAUGUUCCAGCCCGAAACGCAGGUUCUGCAGGAGUGGGGCGCGCAGGUGCGCUCAGCAGAGCGUACAGAUGAAUGCGCAUUGGAAUGCGCCUGGGCCGCGACAUUACCCCCCUCGUUAUGGACAGCUUUUAGAUGUCUUAAAACUGGAACCAGAAGAACACAGAGAUCAAGAAUCAAGGUAGGGGGGAGGGGUGAACUGGCUGUGGGUCGCCGGUCGAAUUGUCCCCGAAUCCACAAGGGACGAGUCUGGUGACAGCAGAGAGUAGAACGCUCCUGCGGCCGGCGAAGCGGGCGACCAAGGAACGGCCACCUUUUUGGCCGUCGGGAAGGCGGACACGAGAUUCCUCCUCAUCUCUCGAUAAUCCAAACAGUCCAUUACUCCUUCCUACUGGAGAUUGCUGAGGAAGGCCAGAAAAAAAUUCCCGAGUGGUGGGCAGAACAAGAC